rnacentral:lncRNA from 1 species
GUGGGCGUGGCUACGGGCAUUGGCCACGCCCCCAGAGAGGCGGGCUUGCGCCGGCGGGAUUGCCGUCGGGAGCCCCAGAGAAGGGCUAGGUGUUAGGGCCGGGUUGCAGCGCCCCUUGACUCUACUGCGAGGGUGAAAUAACGGAGGUUGGCGCGCCAGCGCACGGGUUGAAUAGGAGUUAUCCUUUACUGCAGCUGCAGUCGGCCCUCGCCCAGCGCCAGCCCCGCUGCAGAGCACUUGGCGGAGUCCGGCAGGAGGUCUCCCACGGAAAUGUUCCCUCCGCCAAAAUGAAGAUGUCUCAGAGCCCUAAAGAACCAGGAAAAGACAAAGAAGCAUAUUUUUUUCGAACAUUCAGUUUCUGGGAGCUGGGUAACUUCCUGAAUGACACGAAUGACCUGGAUAAUUUCAGGGUCAUCUCGCAAAUCAGGGGGCGAUCGGAUCUGAUUUUAAGAUGUGUAACCUUAUGCCUGUGUUCCAGAAAGUGGGAGCAUAUGGCAUUGCUCAUCUUUCUAACUCAACACUCCAGCUCUCUGGACCUUUUAAUUUUCUUAUGCAGCUGUGUAUAGACCUUCACCCCCGCUUUGAUCUAGUUUUUUCCUAUCUUUGAUACCUCAGUGCUCAGCUCAGAGUGGUAGACCUCAAAGUGGCCACAAGCUCUUCCCCGCACACUCCCCCCUUUGCCUUGUGGCUUUGCCUGAUCUCCCAGCAAGGAGUGGGCCCUGUUCCCCCACUUGUCUCUGGGCCUUGCACAUGUAAAUUGCUCUGGCUGAAGGGAUCUUAUAAGACAGGAAGCGGAGCUGCUGCUAUGGUUCAUCGGGUUAAGAACCCAGCAGUGUCCAUAGUCUCUGUGAGGAUGCAGGUUUGAUCCCUGGCCUCACUCAGCGGUUAAGGAUCCAUCGUUGCUGAAAGCUGGUCACAGACGAAUGGCCCAGAUCCAUUGCUGCUGCUGGUGUAAGCCAGCAGCUGCAGCUCCUGUUUGACCCCAACCAGUGAACUUCCAUAUGCCACAGGUGUGGCCGUAAAAAGAAAAAUAAAAUGAAAUAAAAUAGGAAGCUAUUGAGAGGU